GAUGAACGCUAGCUACAGGCUUAACACAUGCAAGUCGCGGGGCAGCAUGGGGGUUGCUUGCACUCCCCGAUGGCGACCGGCGCACGGGUGAGUAACGCGUAUCCAACCUGCCCUUCACCACGGGAUAACCCGGCGAAAGUCGGACUAAUACCGUAUGUUGUCCAUUGACGGCAUCCGAUUUGGACGAAAGGUUUGGCGGUGAAGGAGGGGGAUGCGUCCGAUUAGCUGGACGGCGGGGUGACGGCCCACCGUGGCGACGAUCGGUAGGGGUUCUGAGAGGAAGGUCCCCCACACUGGAACUGAGACACGGUCCAGACUCCUACGGGAGGCAGCAGUGAGGAAUAUUGGUCAAUGGGCGUAAGCCUGAACCAGCCAAGUAGCGUGCAGGAUGACGGCCCUAUGGGUUGUAAACUGCUUUUAUGCGGGGAUAAAGUGGCCCACGUGUGGGUUUUUGCAGGUACCGCAUGAAUAAGGACCGGCUAAUUCCGUG
rnacentral:rRNA from 1 species